UGAGGAAUAUUGGGCAAUGGACGAGAGUCUGACCCAGCCAUGCCGCGUGAAGGAUGAAGGCGUUCUGCGUUGUAAACUUCUUUUAUCAGGGAAGAAACCGCUUUUUUCUAAGAGCGUUGACGGUACCUGAGGAAUAAGCACCGGCUAACUCCGUGCCAGCAGCCGCGGUAAUACGGAGGGUGCAAGCGUUAUCCGGAUUUACUGGGUUUAAAGGGUGUGUAGGCGGCUUUGUAAGUCAGGGGUGAAAUCCCGGGGCUCAACCCCGGAACUGCCUUUGAUACUAUAGAGCUUGAAUUAUGUUGAGGUUGGCGGAAUAUAACAUGUAGCGGUGAAAUGCAUAGAUAUGUUAUAGAACACCGAUUGCGAAGGCAGCUGACUAAACAUAUAUUGACGCUGAGGCACGAAAGCGUGGGGAUCAAACA
rnacentral:rRNA from 1 species